CCAUCAUUUUCAAAGGCCACAGAGAUGAUUCGCUCCCAAGCCCAUGGUCGCGAGGCUGUUUCUGGGAAUCGCUGGACCACCUCAGAAAUCAUGAAUCAGUUGUAAUUAUAUUCGAUAUAAUUAUGAUUUUAACCUAGAUUAUAUAAUAUGUAUUGUUAAUUAUGAUUAGUUAGUGUAAUAUGUAAAAAAUAGGUGUUAAUUAAAACACGUACAGCGACCUAGGGACGCCAGGUCAGGCCAGGAUUGCUAUUAGGGCUGCAGCCAAAGGAGUGAUGAGAGUGCUGCUGGCCAGUGUUGGUGUCUUCACUCCACGCAGCGGCUCAGUGGAGAGUUUGGCGUGUAACAAGAGUGACGGUUAGUAUUGUAAACAUGCAUGUGACAAGUCAGUAGAAUAAACAUGCAUGUGGAAAAAAAAAAAUAUAUAAAAUAAAGGUGCAUUAGAGUGAAACGUUUCCCAUCCCGCCACAAGUUCACUUCAGGCUGCAAAAAUCGAAAAGCUCACGGCUCUGGCUAUCGUUUUGUUGCAGCUCCGUGAAAACUCGAUAGCGGCCAAUACCUGCCGGGGAAUCAUCCCCUUGUUGCGCCGCCGCCCGUGAUACCACCACGAAAAGAUACACAGUGCGACAGACAACACUCGUCUAACCUGGAAUGAGGCGGAGGGUGUGGCGAGGUGGUCAGCUGUGGCUGUGGCCGCCUUCAGCUCACACCCGCCUGACUGCUCCUCUUUGUUACCGAGUCAUGGGAAAGUCGAGGUGUUAUAUAUAGUAAACGCCUCGCACCUGCGCCUCCUAAAUGCUUAAUCCUUUCACUGUCGGAUAAUUUUUCUUUUUAUCAUCUGCUUCUUUAUAGGCGCUCAUUUGUGUACAGUGACUCAUCCCCUACAGAUCUUUAUUUACUUUAUUCUUUUAAGUAAUAGCUGGUGAUUGCUUGGAGCUCGGAAACUGUUAGUAGAAGUGAAUAGAUUGACAGUGAACACGUAAAGAUAACAGUGUGUGUGUGUGUGUGUGUGUAAAGACGGCUCCCUAAUUAAUGAAGCAGAUUCCCUGCCUGUAUUUCUAACAAAAGUGCCAAAAGAAAUGUUUCACGAUACACCGUAUCGUGAAACAUUUCUGCCCGCACCCUGACUACUUUCAAGAAGCUGUAGUUGAAAUUACACGAGUAUUAAGAGUGUUUCUAUGGUUCUAGUGACAGACUGGUAAGGUCUGUACAGCAUCAACGGGAGAACCAGUCUUGAAAACCCGGGUAAUUAUUUCUGUGGCCUUUGAAAAUAGUCUGGUGAGAGAGCAAAGCCUUUCAGAAUACAGGCACAUAACCUUGCUUCAUGAAAAACAAGUGCAUUCAUGAUACCCGAGACUGCCUUGUUACAUUCCCCCAGUGACUGCAGUGUAUCUUAUUUUUUUUUUUUUUAUCUCGUAGCAUUAGUCUGUCUGUCAUUGAUGAAAACACCCGCACUACAUGUAUUACGUUAUUUCAUUAGUCUCAAGUCGCUAUUUCAAGUCUAUAUAAGCCUCAAUAAAUACGAGAGCUGUGGUGGUGGUCUGCUUCCCGUCUGCCAAUCAGAGCGUUCUAUUUUUCCGUUUUCUUUCGUAUUCUUCGUAAAGCUCACUAUCCUUCAUUUGUCGUUACUUCUUGCCUCACAGUGUAUUGGUAAGUGUCUUCUGCUGGUAAUAAUAGCCGCGAUUCUAUUAUUUUGUAUCAUUACAAGUAGUAUUGCGAGAGUGGCUCCGUUCUUAGUGACAAUUACCUCAGCACAGCCUUCACCAAUCGGCGCCAAGUAUUCAAGUCACGUGAUACUCUCUUCUCGCCAUCUCCUCAGCCAUUCGCCCUGCGCCCGCUGACGUGACGAGUCCCCGGUUGUGUUAUAAUUACGGCGGUGAAGCGGUGUUGCGUCUGUCCCUGGCAGGCAUGUUGUGGUGGACUGCGGUGUGGGGGGAGAGGUGGAUGCCCUCUCUCCCUCCCCGCUCCCUUCCUAACCUGCCCGCCACCCUCUCCCCGCUUUUCCCUGCCUGUCCUCCCCUGCUCCUCGUGUCCCAGGUGACCCAUGAACUACCUCUAACAAUGGUGAUGAAGAACCAGAAGUGGCCUGUAGGUGACGAGAUAACUAGCCCAGGUCAUCCCGGAAGUGGCGAGGUGACCCCAUACAGCUCCACAAGGUCGUGGAGGACGCCAGAC